UACGUGAGGGUGCAAGCGUUAAUCGGAAUUACUGGGCGUAAAGCGUGCGCAGGCGGUGAUGUAAGACAGGUGUGAAAUCCCCGGGCUUAACCUGGGAACUGCAUUUGUGACUGCAUCGCUGGAGUGCGGCAGAGGGGGAUGGAAUUCCGCGUGUAGCAGUGAAAUGCGUAGAUAUGCGGAGGAACACCGAUGGCGAAGGCAAUCCCCUGGGCCUGCACUG
rnacentral:rRNA from 1 species